CGGGCCCUCCCGGUGCCCUCCCGGUGCCCGUGGGGGACGCGGAGCCCCGCGCCGCGGAGAGAAGGGCAGCGCGCGGGAGAAGGCAAAAAAUCCGGCGUUGUUUCCCAACUGCACCCAAAAACCGUCAGAGCCCGAAGCGGCGCGGUGCCGCCUUGGGGGGGUGGGGAGGGGUUGUUAUUAUUAUCGUUAAUUUGCUUGAAUAAAUGCGAAGGGUGCACAAAGCGCUCCGGCCAGCCCGGGCCGCGGCCAACUUUGCGGGCAGCAGUUCGCUCCGCUCUCUAUUAUCUGCACAGCCGUUGAUCUUUUUUUCCCCCGCCAUUCUCUUUCUUCUUUCCUUUUCCCCCCUUUAUUUUUCUUUGCUUUAUUAUUUUUUUUCCUUUCUUUUUCUUGUUUUCUUUCUUUCUUUUUUUUUUUUCCUUUUUCUUUUUUGCCCUUAAUUUUAUUUUUGCAAAGGCGGCGUUCUGCCUCGCAAUAAUUACCAAUCGCAGACAGCGCUAUAAAUCCCCUCAUUUUCUGUGCUGGAAAAGCAUUUGCAAAGAGCUGUGGGGUGCAGGAGGGGAAAUAAAAGACAGAAGGAGGGCGGCGGGGCUGCGGGGUGCGCGGAGCCCGGCGCUGUGCAUGGCACAGAGCUCCGCUCGCCGCCGGCUCUCUGCAGGAAACGUAAAAUCUGAUCAAGUUCAGAGGCGCAUUGAGAGCAGCGCUUCAAGCAGCGCUUUAUAACCGCGGCCCUUUCACAUCGUUCCCCCCAAUCAGCCCCCGGGAAAAGCCUUCGCCUUCUUUAUUUUAAGGGUUUGCAGGGAGCGAAAAAAAAAAAAAAAAGAGAGAGAGAGAGAGAAAAAAAAAAAACCACCGCUAUAAAAUCUCCCCGAGGUCCCACCGGUGCUCGGUAACGCUCCCAUUGCCCAGGCCACGGGCCUGCUACCAGCCCAGAGUGGAGACAAGAGAACUGUGUCACCCAGAAGGACACAAGCCUGAGGGCAGGCUGGGGCACUGCCAGGGACCGACAUGCCCCACGUCCACCCUGCAAGAGCAAAGUCACCCUUUCCUACCUAACCAAGCAGCCCCCUAUGCAGGCUGGGCAGUGCUCAGAGCAGCCCUGCUGGAGGUUUGGCACUGGCUUUACCUUCCAGGCAAGAUUAUUGACCUUUCCAGUCCAGUAUUUAACAACCCCCAUUCAUCCCCACUUUCCCCUUCCCUUCCACUUCAUUCCCUUUGUUGCUCUGUAAUAGGAGAGGCAACAGGGCACAUAUUUCUGUAGAACAAAGCAUUAUCAUCCUAAUUAUAGUUUCCUGGUGUUUUCUUCACUUUUACCAUUAUAUUAAAAGCCAUUAGCUGAGAGGAACUACCUUUUUUAAUCUCUACCCUAUUGUUCUCAUCUCUCCCCGAAUCCGAGGUCUUUUUAGAGUCUAUUUUAUUCAUAAUUACAUGUGUUGGAACAACUGCUCAAAAAAGUGAGCCCAGGAAGGACUCCGUUAAUACUUCCCUAGCAGACUUGAUCCCACUGCCUCUGAAUUACGUAAUGAUAACAAUUUAAUAAAAUGUAUGUGAAAAAAAUGGCUUAUUUUCAGCAGUUCGUGUGAAUGAUGGAUGCAGCCUUACCAUGAGCAUCGGGAGCCCUACACUGAGGGAAACUUUAAAAUGCAUCAUAUUCGGUCAAUUGGCCCUUCAGGUUUUUUCAAGCUUCCCCUCCAUCACCUUUGUUAAUUACCCGCCAUUUGAACAAGGGUCUUCUCCAGCCUUGAUCCUGCCGUGAAAUCACGAUGCUAUAUUUGUCUUUCUAACAUCAAAGUCAUUUCCAUGGUCACCAACUGUGAUGUCAUAAACACAUUUUUAAUGGCUUGUUUACAGCAGGGAACAGAAGGAGAGAGUAAAUUAUGGGUGGAAGGAAGCUCUUAUCGAUGCACAACAGUCUUAGGCACAACUGUGAGGCUGGAAGAUGAAGAAAACUUGGAAUAAAAGAACGUUCUGCUGAAGUAGUUUUUGUUCUGAAGUUCAUCCCAGCUCAAAAAUCCUUUUCUAAGUUAUCACUGAACAAGAAACGUCAAUAGAUUACCAAUAUGUCAAUCAGCCCAGAGUUGUGGAAGCUAAUUUCUAAGCCUGGAAGACAAUAAAUCCAUGCCACAAUCCAUCCAAUCUGCGGUAUAAAUGAACACAUACGACACAUCCAGAGCAACUCCUACAGAAUAACUUGGGGAGGACAUACUGAAUUCUGAAUAUUACUGGCCCAGAUAGUCUUACACCCGUCUAAGGUUACAGCAGAAUCAGAAGGUCCUUGAGAGAUACUUCAGUUUUGACCAGCUAUGGCUGUGGGAUCCCUACUGGUCCCCGCUGAAUAAGGAGAGUUAUCACGUUCAGUCAGCUAUUCAUGAGGAAGGUUUCUUUUCAGGCAGAGAAAGGCAAAUGCCAACACCAGCUUGAGCUUUUGGCCACAGAAAUAACAUGGCCCUUCAGGCUGUUCUGACACACAGCUUGACCUGUCUUCCCAGCAAGCCCAAAGCACUGUCAAUUCCCCUUGGCCAACUCUCUAAUUUGGUAGCAGAGUUGAGACGUAUUUAGCUGAAAUAAGUUUGUCCUCAUCCCUCAGCUGAAGUGGAAAAGUAAAACCUUCAGUUUUUUUUCCCACAAGGCACAGCACAGAGUUGUUCUAGCAGGAAUCCACCAACUCUUCUCUGCUUCGAGUUCUUCUGAUACCAUUUCUUCAUGCCCUGCAUUUCUUGGUUCCCAGUAGCUCAAAGUUAGCAUCAGAUGCUGUCCAUUCACAAUACAUUAAUGAAUGGACCCAGACAUGCUCCAUGUUGGAUGCUUGCUAAGGCAAGGUCUGGUGCACUACCUCUCAUCCCACCCCAGGGCAGAAAUUAAUUUUCUAGACCCUCAUCACUCGAGAGGGUGGGGAAACUGAGUCAUGCAUAAUUUCUUUUAUAAGUAAUGUGGAUGUUUCCUAUGGUGUCCAGAAGUCAG
ensembl:lncRNA